rnacentral:rRNA from 1 species
GCAGCAGGCACGCAAAUUACCCACUCCCGGCACGGAGAGGUAGUGACAAAAAAUAACGAUACGGGACUCUAUUGAGGCCCCGUAAUCGGAAUGAGUACACUUUAAAUCCUUUAACAAGGAUCCAUUGGAGGGCAAGUCUGGUGCCAGCAGCCGCGGUAAUUCCAGCUCCAAUAGCGUAUAUUAAAGUUGUUGCGGUUAAAAAGCUCGUAGUUGGUUCUGCGUGCCGCGCUGUCGGUUCGCCGCCUGUCGGUGUUACUGGCAUGUCGCGGCAUGUCCUGUCGGUGGUGAAUGAAAUCCCCGGUGCUAUGUAGGCUUUUAUUAGCUGAAGUACGUGCCGUUGUGACUUCAUUUGCCGAUUUCUCCUACUCCGGUGCUCUUAAACGAGUGUCGAGGUAGGCCGACACGUUCACUUUGAACAAAUUAGAGUGCUUAAAGCAGGCUGAAAUAUCUGCCUGAAUAGUGGUGCAUGGAAUAAUAAAAUAGGACCUCGGUUCUAUUUUAUUGGUUUUAGGAAUAUGAGGUAAUGAUCAAUGUGGACUGGCGGGGGCAUUCGUAUUGCGACGUUAGAGGUGAAAUUCUUGGAUCGUCGCAAGACGCACUAAAGCGAAAGCAUUUGCCAAGUAUGUCUUAAUUGAUCAAGAACGAAAGUUAGAGGUUCGAAGGCGAUCAGAUACCGCCCUAGUUCUAACCAUAAACGAUGCCAGCCAGCGAUCCGCCGAUGUUCCUUUAAUGACUCGGCGGGGAGCUUCUACCCGGGAAACCAAAGCUUUUGGGUUCCGGGGGAAGUAUGGUUGCAAAGCUGAAACUUAAAGGAAUUGACGGAAGGGCACCACCAGGAGUGGAGCCUGCGGCUUAAUUUGACUCAACACGGGAAACCUCACCAGGCCAGGACAUUGGAAGGAUUGACAGAUUGAUAGCUCUUUCUUGAUUCAGUGGGUAGUGGUGCAUGGCCGUUC